rnacentral:rRNA from 1 species
AUUGAACGCUGGCGGUAUGCUUAAGACAUGCAAGUCGAACGGUAACAGGUUAAGCUGACGAGUGGCGGACGAGUGAGUAACGCGUGGGAAUCUACCUUGUAGUGGGGGAUAAGCCAGGGAAACUUGGACUAAUACCGCAUACGCCCUAAGGGGGAAAGGCGCAAGUCGCUAUAAGAUGAGCCCGCGUCUGAUUAGGUAGUUGGUGGGGUAAAGGCCUACCAAGCCGACGAUCAGUAGCUGGUCUGAGAGGAUGACCAGCCACGUCGGGACUGAGACACGGCCCGGACUCCUACGGGAGGCAGCAGUCGGGAAUAUUGGACAAUGGGGGAAACCCUGAUCCAGCAAUACCGCGUGUGUGAAGAAGGCCUGCGGGUUGUAAAGCACUUUCAGUUGGGAAGAUAAUGACGUUACCAACAGAAGAAGCACCGGCUAACUCCGUG